GCCGUCCGAUCAUAGGAGUAAGAAGAGUUUAAAGGUCCUCUCUUCUCAUUCGAUGGAGUGCUCUUAUGAUGUGUAGAAGUGCCAAGUAAUUAAAUUUCAUGAAGAAAAAUAUGAAAAGAAGAACUUAUUUUUCUAUAAAAUCUUAGAUCUUGAAAUUUUAGAUUUGUUGUAUGUGAUAUAAAGUUGUAUGAAAUGUAAGACAUCUAAUCUAUG
rnacentral:lncRNA from 1 species